CGCAUACAAAAGCACAAGAUACUGUUAAGCAAAAGAAAAAAGAUCUCAUUUAGACACUUUUGAGAUUCACUGUUGCUCCUGUGCGGCAAAUGACCCGAAUGCACACAAAAGGGGUCCGGCCGGCGUAUCCUCAGAGAGCAUGAGAGCGCCGGUGAUGCAGUGGCGCUGUGUGCUGACAGAGGGGGAACAAAGGUGACGCUUGAUGGAACGAACACUCUUUCCUCAUGACACACAGAUUCCCUCAGCGAGCCGACCAGCGGCCACGGAGAACAAACGACGUGGGGAAACAUCGGCAGAACUCUUGUUCUCGGUUUUCCUUCACCGCCCUCCAAAACGUGACGCAGCUGCUCCACCUAAUUAGGAUCCAUCGUGGGCUUCAACCAGACAUUUAAGUUGAUUUGAUUUAAGUCGUUUAACAAUUUAAGCUUUUUAAAAGUAUUUUCUAUCCUUAAUUAAAGGCAAUUAAAUGACUUGAAACCUUAAUGCAACAUGUGCUGACAGCUCAGAAGCCCCCGAUGAGCAUUGGGGCUUCUGCUUGCAUGAAGUAAGCUCUGUGUUUCCUUUCAAAGCUUUGGCUCGUCUCCAGUUGUUUCUUCCAUUUGUGACUCAGCUGAAGGAUGAAUGUGUACACCUUCGUCCUGCUCCUCUUCCUCUGUGAUAUUCAGGCGUUCAGAGGUGCAUAUGUGACGGGGCUUUAGGGGAAGAAACCAACAAGCCUCAACCUUACACCCCAGGAAAUACAGAUUUAAAUCUUAUCCCAAGUCACUGUGGAGAAGGCAGAGACAGGUUUGUUGUAAUUAAGAAAAAAUGUUUUAUGAGAGAAAACAAUAAAAAACAAGGGAGGCACAAAUCACUAUAAAAACUGGGUUUUUAUUAAAAAAUAAAUAAAAAAAGGCAAGUUGACUUAACGGCAAAUGCAACACGGCAAACAAAACAACUGAGGAAAACACCAAAAAGUAAACUGAAGAAAACAUAAGAUUACAAA
ensembl:lncRNA